rnacentral:rRNA from 1 species
AUACGUAAGGGGCAAGCGUUAUCCGGAUUUACUGGGUGUAAAGGGAGCGUAGACGGUGAGGCAAGUCUGAUGUGAAAACCCGGGGCUCAACUCCGGGAUUGCAUUGGAAACUGUCUGACUUGAGUACUGGAGGGGUAAGCGGAAUUCCUGGUGUAGCGGUGAAAUGCGUAGAUAUCAGGAGGAACACCGGUGGCGAAGGCGGCUUACUGGACAGUAACUGACGGUGAGGCUCGAAAGCGUGGGGAGCAAACAGGAUUAGAUACCCUGGUAGUCCACGCCCUAAACGAUGAAUACUAGGUGUUGGCGACCACAGGUCGUCAGUGCCGCCGCAAACGCAUUAAGUAUUCCACCUGGGGAGUACGUUCGCAAGAAUAAAACUCAAAUGAAUUGACGGGG